rnacentral:rRNA from 1 species
GAGUUUGAUUCUGGCUCAGGAUGAACGCUGGCGGCAUGCCUAACACAUGCAAGUUGAACGAGAAGUUCUGGAGGGAGUCUUCGGACGAACGAAGGAAUGGAAAGUAGCGAACGGGUGAGUAACGCGUGGGCAACCAACCUUACACAGGGGGAUAACGCAGAGAAAUUUGCGCUAAUACCGCAUAAGCGCACAGUACCGCAUGGUACAGUGUGAAAAACUCCGGUGGUGUAAGACGGGCCCGCGUCUGAUUAGUUAGUUGGUGAGGUAAAAGCUCACCAAGGCAACGAUCAGUAGCCGACCUGAGAGGGUGAUCGGCCACAUUGGGACUGAGACACGGCCCAAACUCCUACGGGAGGCAGCAGUGGGGGAUAUUGCACAAUGGAGGAAACUCUGAUGCAGCAAUGCCGCGUGAAGGAAGACGGUUUUCGGAUUGUAAACUUCUAUCAGCAGGGAAGAAAAUGACG